rnacentral:rRNA from 1 species
UACGUAGGGCGCAAGCGUUGUCCGGAAUUAUUGGGCGUAAAGAGCUCGUAGGUGGCUUGUUGCGUCUGCCGUGAAAGCCCGUGGCUUAACUGCGGGUCUGCGGUGGAUACGGGCAGGCUAGAGGCUGGUAGGGGCAAGCGGAAUUCCUGGUGUAGCGGUGAAAUGCGCGGAUAUCAGGAGGAACACCGGUGGCGAAGGCGGCUUGCUGGGCCAGUUCUGACGCUGAGGAGCGAAAGCGUGGGGAGCGAACAGG